rnacentral:misc_RNA from 1 species
CACUUCAUCAGGAGUUUGAUAUUAUUGAAGAAAACUUGACAGCAUUAAUAAAACUGUUUGAUUUGUUGAAUGUGCAAUUUGAGUCAUGUGGCAGUGAGUGCAUGGGAGUUCAUGAGUGCACUUGUUUGAAAGAAGACUAUGUCAAAUUCAUGGAUGAUUUCCAAAGUGAAUGGGAGGCUGCACCUGACAACAAACUGAUCAGGAUUGGAAGCGCAACAGCACAGUCCUAUACCCAUGCAUUUGCUCAUUACAUCAGCACCAACAACAGCACACCAACGUAUCCAGUGAACAUCAUACGGUGCCUUGAAGUCAUCCAGCUCAUGAAGCCGACUCUAGCGGCCACAGAAAGAGUGAUGUCACACGUGGAGAUUGCUGUGAGAAAUAGAUUUGAAUCCAAGUAUUACAUGAAUGAAACAAAACUUGAUGAAGAUGCUGUCUUUGAUAACAUUCAGAAUGAAGUGUUUCUCAGAUGCAACACAAACAUUGUACAGCAUGAUGCAGAACUGGCAAAAACAAUAUUUCUCGCCAAACACAAAAGAAUCGCUUAUCAAAAACAAGAAAUCUACUGCAAAAAGUCAAGCAAUAAAGAAUUAUAUGAGCAAACUUGGCAUUAAUGUUGCUAAAAAAUUCUCCCAGAAACGACAAAAUGUACCUGAUCAAAAACAGGCUGACUGCAAGAGAAGAAAAAUGAACUGUUGCCCUUCAGAUGUACUGGAGAAUAUAAAAAAUUCUGCUCCAAUCAAUUCAGUACCAGCUCUUUCAGAGUCAGAUAAAAGCUCGGAAGUGAAUGCAGAAAUUGCACUACCUGCAGACAUUGCACAACCGGCAGACAUUGCACAACCGUCAGACAUUGCACAACCUGCAGACAUUGCACAAUCUGCAGACAUUGCACAACCAGCAGACAUUGCACAACCUGUAGACAUUGCACAACCUACUAAAAUUGCACAACCUGCAGAAAUUGCACAACCUGUAAAAAUUGCACAACCGGCAGGCAUUGCACAACCUGCAUACAUUGAACAACCUUUAGUCAUUGCACAGCCUUCAGUAAUCAAAUCAAAUCUAUCAGGAUCAGUAAACAAACUUGCUGAUACGAGAAGCUUGGAUACAUUUGAGCAACCAGUUGAAAGCCGACCUGAUCCUACGUUCCAUGUGAAUGUAGAAAAUGACAAUACAAAAGUUGCCAAGAAAGUUGAGAUUUACUGCAUUUGUGAAAUGAGGCAUGAUGAAACAAAUCAAAUUAAAUUUUACAAAUGGAUUGGAUGUGCUAAUGCUCAGAUGUGUGAAUCAUACAUUGAAAGAAUAACUGCAAAAAAUUGUGAAGGAGGAGACUGGUUCCACUUGGAGUGUUUGAAACUUGACAAAAUUUCAAAUGGAGAAUGAUAUUGUCCAAAGUGUAGUGAAAAGCACACUACUAUCUUGAGACAGAACAUGAUUAAGUUUAAUAUUAAAGAAUGCAGCAUUGUUCUUCAACGAUGCCCUGAAGAUGCAGACGGGAGUGUCUGGUGUGCUGAGCAGAGCCUCCCUCAAGUGUCUGCUGGUGAAGUGAAGUCUGAAGCAUUGGAAUUCGGGGCUCCGUCUUCAGUUGCCAAUGUUGCAGUCAAGAAGAUCGAGGAGUGUGAUAUAGAGGAAGUGAAUGUUAAGGAGGAACCAAUUACUGAAGAGCUGCAGGUGGAGUGACCACAUUCUGGGCGUCAAACCCUGGACUCUGAACACCAGCGUCAGCUCUCCUUCAGCAGACCUGAUCUGAAGUGUCUGCGUCGCCUGCCGAGUGCCACCAUCGCCUGCCAAGUGUCUGCGUCGCCUGCCAAGUGUCUGCAUCGCCUGCCUAGUAUCACAGUCCCGUUGUCAACAAAUACAAUAAUAGGCUAUUCGAAUCUAUGACUCGAAGUUUUGUUUAUUUAUUUCGAAGUUAUUGCCAUUUGUUUCUUCAGAAUAACUGCAAUUCUGGUGGGCCCCGUUUGGUACUGUCUGGCGCGCGGAGGGGACUGCGUAAUUAUUUGUUUGCAUCUUAUCUCUUUUAUAGUGUUUUUUUCAUUCAUUACUACUUCAUAUUGUACACUAUUGGAAUCUUUGCUAGCCAUAUGAAUUAUAUUUAUG